GCGUCCCCAGGUCAGUC
rnacentral:rRNA from 2 species